rnacentral:rRNA from 1 species
GNNNANNNNGGNNNNUACCAUGCAGUCGAACGGGAGUAUUGAAGAAGCUUGCUUUAGAGAUACUUUAGUGGCGGACGGGUGAGUAACGCGUGAGGAGCUGUCCUAUGCAGGGGGACAACAGCUGGAAACGGCUGCUAAUACCCCAUAAGCCGAGAGGUAAAAGGAUCAAUCCGGCAGAGGAGGUACUCGCGUCCUAUCAGCUAGUAGGUGAGGUAACGGCUCUCCUAGGCGAAGACGGGUAGCCGGCCUGAGAGGGCGAACGGCCACACUGGAACUGAGAUACGGUCCAGACUCCUACGGGAGGCAGCAGUGGGGAAUAUUGGGCAAUGGGGGAAACCCUGACCCAGCGACGCCGCGUGGGUGAAGAAAUCCUUCGGGAUGUAAAGCCCUGUUGUAUGGGAAGAGCGGAAGACGGUACCAUACGAGGAAGCCCCGGCAAACUACGUGCCAGCAGCCGCGGUAAUACGUAGGGGGCAAGCGUUGUCCGGAAUUACUGGGCGUAAAGCGCACGCAGGCUGAAUUAUAAGUCGGUAGUCAAAGGCGGAGGCUCAACCUCUGUAUAUCUAUCGAUACUGUAAAUCUGGAGUAUGUGAGAGGGAAGCGGAAUUCCCGGUGUAGCGGUGAAAUGCGUAGAUAUCGGGAGGAACACCAGUGGCGAAGGCGGCUUCCUGGCACAAUACUGACGCUCAUGUGCGAAAGCUAGGGCAGCGAACGGGAUUAGAUACCCCGGUAGUCCUAGCCGUAAACGAUGGAUACUAGGUGUGGGUGUCGCAGGGCAUCCGUGCCGCAGUUAACGCGUUAAGUAUCCCGCCCUGGGGACUACGGUCGCAAGACUGAAACUCAAAGGAAUUUGACGGGGUGCCCGCACAAGCGGUGGAGCACGUGGUUUAAUUCGAUGCAAACCGAAAAAACCUUUCCUUGGGUUUGACAUGCAGUUGGUAGUGAAAUGAAAGCGGAA